UAAUGGCGGUAAGUGUUAAUUGUAGUAAUUUCACAGCUGACUUGAACAAACGCUUUCUGCUUUCGUCUUGAGCAGUCUGUCAUGAAUAUUCCUCAAAAUUUGUCAAAAUUUAGCGUUUUGAUAAAACUUGUGUUCGUGAUUUUGUUAUCUAAGCUUUUCUUAUGGGUUCAAGAGGGCAAUAAAAACGAUAUGCAGUUGAUUCCACUGUUGAUCUUACAAGAAGAACAAAAUAUAGACGAUGAAAGCAGUUGCGUGCUGCAAUGGAGAUAGAUCAAGCAACUUCAUCUGAUAUGAUUCAAGGUCAUCAACAUGAUCAAGAGACACAGGCACAGGCAUGUCAGGAGAAUGGAAAAAUUGAUGUUGUUUCCAACUUAAUAAUAAUGGCCUUGGACAUGAAGCACUGCAGUACAUGAAUAUAUGAACAUGAACCACAGUAGCAGAACCACAUUGGCUCCAGAUAUAAUGGAAUUUUUCUAUCUGUAAAUGUGAUUUUCAUCUUCAUUCCUGGUAAAACCACUCUGGCUCCAAAAUUGAACUGAAGAAAUGCACUAAUGUUACUCAGAAGAGAUUUGAUAAAUUUGGUCAAGUGGUUCUCACGUCACGUGCUCGUUGUCAUUUUGUGGAGAUGCAUCAAGCAUUUUAAUGACUUUAUUCUGUGUAGGCUUUCUUUCAUCAUAAGACAAGAAAAUGUAUGCGAUAUUUUGGAAUUCUGCACCUUCAAUCUUCAAAGAUCGCAAUAUCAGAUUCCAUCCGUUGCAAUCACAUGGUAAAAUAUUGGAUUCCAGGGUUAAAAAAUUACUUCAUCAUAUAACUAAAUGCCUUUUUCAAAUCUUGAAAAAGUUUGACGUAAAAUAAUAUUGAAUAUAUAAUUUUAAUUGGAGUAUAUUGAUUAAAUCUACCGCAUUCAGCAGCUAAAUAAUUGCAGGCUGCCAACAUGUA